UACGGGGGGGGCAAGCGUUGUUCGGAAUUACUGGGCGUAAAGGGCUCGUAGGCGGCCAACUAAGUCGGAUGUGAAAUCCCCAGGCUCAACCUGGGAACUGCAUCCGAUACUGGAUGGCUUGAAUUCGGGAGAGGGAUGCAGAAUUCCAGGUGUAGCGGUGAAAUGCGUAGAUAUCUGGAGGAAUACCGGUGGCGAAGGCGGCAUCCUGGACCGGCAUUGACGCUGAGUGAGCGAAAGCCAGGGGAGCAAACGGG
rnacentral:rRNA from 1 species